GUGAAAAAGAAGGUGACAGGAGUUAGAAUAGUUAGAUCAGUUGGACUGAAUGUACUAAGACCAUCAAGUCCAACUGCCUAACCUCUUUAGGGUUAACAAAAUGUUAAAGGAUAUUAAUAAUGGCAUUAUCUUGAACACUAGCAGCCAUAGGGCAUCAAUUACCUCUCUAGGAAGUCUAUGCCACUGUUUGACCACCAUCAUGGUAAAUAAAUGUCUCCUAAUGCCCAGCCUGACUCUCCCCGGCACAGCUCUGUGGCGUUCUCCUCCCACCACUGGUUCCCAGGAACAGAGCCUGGCCACUUCCCUCUGCUUCCCCUCCUCGGGACUCUGCAGGGAGCAGCAAGGUCACCUCUUGUUCUCUCCAGACUGGGCAACUCAGCACCCUCAGCCUCUCCUCACAGGACAUGCCUUCAGCCCUGUUACCAGCUUUGAUGCUCUCCUCUGGGGGCUUUCAAGAACCUUAAUGUCCUUUUUAUAUUGUGGAGCCCAGAACUGCAGGCAGUAUUUGAGACUUGUCCAAAAUUCUGACUGAAGAGGUGUGAAAACCUGGACAACACACAUCAAGAAAAAGGCUAGCAGGACUCAAAGUGACUGAAAAUACAAGCCUCCAGAUAAGGUGGUAGAAGCCUGCAAUUGUGUUAUUGACAGUUGCACCUGAGACAUGGACUGUUGUGAAACAGCACAUUUGAGGUACACUGCAUACCAACUAUGAGGCAGAUCCAAGGCCUUCGAGGUACAUGUGGCUAUUCUGCCACAUGUGUCUCAGUAGCUGACUUCUUUGCCAAACUUCCUUAUGAUUACAUCUCUACUACGCUAACUGUAUUUCAAAAUCUGCCUUAAAGUUAGUUCAAAGCUCAUUUUAAUCACUAAAAAGAAAUUGCCAUUGGCUUCACUGCAGAUAUCAUCAGUUGGCUCUGAUCCAUUCCACCACAGGGUCUGAGGGAGCUCGUCAGCCCUUUCUCCAGCAUCCAUGUCUGGGUGGCAUCUGGCCAUUUACUAGUUGGAAGAGACAGCACUAAGGUAAUGCAUUCACUUCCUGGGUGUAACAAAAACUCUUCAGAGGGUGAAGCUGCUUCAACAUUUCUGAAAGUCCUUUGUCACCUCACUCCUUCCAGUACCCUAAACAAUUGAGAAACUGAGUUGAUAAAAUAUUCCUUUGAGGGAAAUUGAGUUGGAAGUCCUCAUGGAUACAGAUGGCAGCAUCAGAACUGUGAGCUGAUUGGGAAAGUGUGAGAAGAUGCAUCAGAUCUUGCUGUGCUUUCAAACAUGCAUAAAGACAGCUCUAUCUUUGGCAUGGAACAAGCAUGGAGAAACUUUAAUAACAACGCAAGACGUAGUGCUGUAACCUAGGUUCAUAAGUUUCUUUUUCGUUGCCUUCAACAAAACCACCACUUAAAUCAAACUCUUCAUAAGAAAUGCUGAUCUGCAGAAUAUUACCAGAUGGGUCUCCUGCCUUCUGAAGAAAGGGGGAAAUGAGAGAGCCUCAUGUUUAACGGCAUAUGAAAGAAGAAAUACAAUGUGUAAACUUUCCACUGACGGAUAUAAUAGUGUUCUCACUUUUAAAGAAAAACAGUACUUCCUAGCAGGAGGCCUGCAAGAAAUUUAACAAUUACUCAAGAUUUAGUUGUACAGCAUGGCAUUUUCGAACAUGUGCAGAGUCUGUUAUUUUUUGUAAUUAAAUUAAUUUAAAUAAUAAAUAAAG
ensembl:lncRNA